CUUGGUCUUACCAUUUUAUAUUGCUUGAUACGAUUCGGUACACUUGCCGACUGUUUAACAAGUUUUUGACACCAUUUCUGGGGACUCAUGGUCAUCUUAUACUUUUGUGUGAUUCUUAACCAGUUUUGACUUUAUUUUUAUGUUUUUGAUUUUUUUUUAUUUUUAAUUUUAAUUUUUAUAUUUUUUCGGCUAAUUGGGUGCUCUAGUGUUUUGUUUUCUAGUGCAACAUUCACACUAGGAGCACAAAAUCAUUUGAACCUCUCUUUAUAGGUCUGAACAAUAGUAGAAGAAGAAGGAAGAACAUGACUUCCAGAGAACUUUUCCCU
rnacentral:lncRNA from 1 species